CCAAUCAACCUAAUAGGAGAGGUGUACAAGAUCAUAGCUAUGUUGCUGGUAGAAAGACUUAAGAAUGCUGCAACUGUCAGGUUCUCUAUUUUGUUCAAUGGAGAACCUGUUGGUUUUUUUCCUUUUGUAAGAGGGUUAAGGCAGGAUGACCCUCUUUCCCCUUUUCUAUUCAUCCUAGCUAUGGAGGGACUUAAUAGCAUGGUGAGGGUUGCUAUUCAGUAAAGCUGGUUAAAAGGUUUCAAAAUGGGCAGUCAUGCAGGUGAAGAGUUGCAAAUCUGCCAGCUCCUUUAUGCAGAUGAUACUUUGUUGUUCUGUGAGGCUAAGGCAGAACAAGUAUGCUUUAUCAGGGUAGUUUUAGUGGUAUUCCAGGCAGUAUCGGGACUCUGUGUUAACUGGAUAAAAAGAAACAUGUUUCAAGUAAAAGAAGUUGCUAACAUUCAAUGUCUAGCUAAUAUAUUGAGUUGCAAGAUAGAAAAGCUCCCAACUACCUAUCUUGGAAUGCCUUUCGGAUAUAACCACAAGGAGGUUGAGAUAUGGGAUAGAACUGUGGAGAAGAUUGAGAAAAAUAUUAGCCACCUUGAAGACUCAAUACCUAUCCUUAGGAGGUAGAACAACUUUGAUCAAUUCUGUUUUUGAUGCUUUGCCUACUUAUUUCAUGUCUCUCUUCCCUUUAUUGGCUAAUAUGGAAGAAAGAUUGGAUAAAUUGGGAAGGGAUUUCUUAUGGUUAGGCAACAAGGAAGGUAAAGGUAUCCAUUUAGUGAAGUGGCAAACUACACAACUCAGUAAGCAAUUGGGUGGACUUGGUAUUGAGAAUUUGAGGCUAUAAAACACAUGCUUACUAUCAAAAUGGCUAUGGAGGUUUGCUAAAGAAGAUCGUGCUCUCAGGAAGGAUGUUAUAAUAAGUAAAUAUGGGCAAACUGAUCAAUGGACUUCCAACACAGUGACCAACACCUAUAGGGUCUCAGUUUGGAGGACUAUCAAGAAUUUAUGGUCCAAAUUGAUUGAGAAGAUAUGCUACAAGGUGGGAGAGGGUACUAGGACACGACUCUGGAAAGAUAAGUGGAUUGGCUAGGAGUCUCUCAUGGAAGCUUUUCCAGAUUUAUUCUUUUUUUGUGGUAAUCCAUGAACAUUUAUUGUUGAAACUUGGUCGCUUCAAGGGUGGAACAUCACUUUUAGGAGGCUUCUAAACAACUGGGAGGUGGAUAGAGUGGCUGAAUUACUACAAAGACUGAGUGAAUUCCCCGGCUUAAAUGCUGAACCUGAUACUAUAAGAUGGAGGCAUAACAAGGAUGUGAGGUUUAUGUAGGUAGACUCUACAAAAGAGAUCUUAUGGUACAACUUGGGAGAAUUUCUGGUCCUUGGAAACAAGACUAGAAGUGUAAUAUCCCAACCAAGGUGAGGUGUUUUCACAUGGUUGGUCUGUAGAAGAGCCUGCCUAAUUCAAGAGAAGCUGAAAAUGAGGGGAUUCCAGAUUGUCUCUAGGAAAAGGAGGAAACAAACAAUCAUUUAUUUCUUCAUUGUAAAGUCACUGCCCAGUUGUGCUAUGUGUUUCUCAACCUUGUCCAAGUACCAUGGGUGAUGCCAGAACAUACUGCAGACUUUUCAAGCUGCUGGGUGAAGAAAGAAGGUAGCAAGACAAAAAAAAAAUGGUGGAGUAUAAUCCCUUCAUGCAUAUGGUGGUCCAUUUGGAAGGAAAGAAACAACAGAUGUCUGGAGAAUAUUACUAAUCCAAUGUAGAAAGUUAAGGAAAACUACAUUAACACACUAUUUUUGGUGUAAAGAAAGGGUAUAGAUGACGAAGAAUUGUUAGUAGAAUUUUUAGGCUCUCUGUAAUUAUGAUUACUUGCCCUUGUAAUUUUUUGGAGGUUGCAGCAUGCCCUUAUUGCUGUAGAAUACUCCCUCCGUUUUAUAAUAAAUGAAUUGUUGGAUUUUGGCACACAUUAAGGAAAAAGCAUUAAAGACAUAAAUUUAACACAACUUUCCAUUUUUACCCCAAAAAAGAAAAAGUUGACCUUGUAAUAUUUUUUCAAAAGUUAAUUGGUUGUCAAAUCAUAAGGGCAAAUUUGGAAAAAAAUUCAAUGAUUUACUUAUUUUGAAACACCAAUAAAUACCCCAACAAUUCACUUAUUCCGAAACGGAGGUAGUACCACUUUACCUUUCUAAAAAAAACACUUAAGAAUGCUGUACUCAUAGCCAGUGAAUGUAUAGACUCAAGGAUGAAAAGUGAAGAUGCAGGGCUACUAUGAAAAUUGGACAUCCAGAAAGCUUAUGACCAUUUAAAUUGUUUUUUCCUUCUCAACAUCUUCAAACAAAAUGGGUUUUGGUAGCAAAUGGUUGAAAUAGAUAGAAGCUUGUAUAAAGACCGUGAGAUUUUCAGUUUUAGUUAAUGGUGAACCAGUUGUAUUUUUUCUAUCUUGAAGAGUAUUGAGACAAGGGGAUCCCUUGUCCCCCUUUCUCUUUGUUUUGGCAAUGGAAGAAUUUGAUAGCAUGAUGAGAAUAGCUACACCACAGAGAUAGAUCAGAGGCUUUCAUAUAGGUGAUAUGCUAGGAGCGAUAAAAGAGAUCAGUCACUUACUAUAUGCAAAUGACACCAUUAUCAUGUGUGAGCCAGAGGCAGAGCAAUUGAAUUAUAUUAGGCUGAUCCUGAUCUUUUUUGAAGCAGUAUCAGAAGGGUCAAUUGAGGAAAAAGUAGUGUGAUUCCUGUCAAAGAUGUACCUCAGAUUCAAGGAUUGGCGGCUAAUAUCAUGGGAUGCAAAAUUGAGGGCUACCAACCAUAUAUUUGGGUAUGCCUUUAGGAAGCAAACACAAAGCAUUGGAGAUAUGGGAUUGGAUCCUAGAGAAAGCAAAAAAGAAGUUGACUAGGUGGAAAGCACAAUAUCUCUGUUUGGGGAAGAGUGGUUUUGAUUAAUUUUGUCUUGGACUCUCUUCCUACUUAUGUGAUGUCCUUAUUCCCUAUUCCUUCAGAAGUGGUCAAAAAACUAGAUAGACUUUCAAGAAACUUUCUCUGGCAAGGGGGCAAAGAAGGCAAUGGUUAUUACUUAGUGAUAUGGGAUAGUGUCAUUUUGAGCAAAGAUAGAGGAGGCUUGGGCAUCAGAAGCCUAAGAUUCCGACGGCACCUGGCGGCACGUGGAUUGCCGGAGAUAAGAUUCGAGCACUGGCGUUUGCUCGCCUGGGUGUUUCUCACCUCGUGGUGGUGUUGGUUUUCGCACACAACACUUAAAAAAUAGAUGAGGGCUCAAAUUAGACUUAACAGUCUCCGGAAAUUGAAAUACCGGGCUGUCUUAUUGAGUUUUCUUCCCAGAAAUUUUCUCACAAAACCUGCGGUGAUACCAUGUGAAAAAUAUGAGAGAAAAUAUUAUUGAAUUGUUGUAUCUAAAUUAUUACUUUGAGACCCUAUUUAUAGGCACUACAUUCCAAUCCUAUUCCUAAUAGGACACUACAUUACAAUCGCUUUCUAAGUAGAAUUCAAUAUGCUAUUCCUAUUCAUAUUCUAACAGGAAUGAUCUUGCACAUGAGGUCUAUGAAUCAUAAUCAUCACAACAUAAGGCAUGAGUUAGUUUGGUGAUAAUAGGCCUGGUUUACGUUGGUACUAAUCAUGAAAUAAAGUUUCGCGUAAGACAAGGAAUCGAAGCAUUCUCCACCUUACAAGAUACCACGAAUAGACAUUACACUUAGAAACUCUUCUCAUCUAUGCCCCAAACAAAAAAUAACAUACUUCAUCAUUUCCAACUUACAAUUCUCCCAUAACACUUCUAACCACAAGAGUUUGAGUCCCGCCGCGUAAUACUCCUAUGUUGAAUCCUAACUAAGAGAAAAGAGCUGCUAGUUUAAUCUAUGGGACUCCAUAUAAGAAAAUUACUUCACCUCAUCACUACAAUCAAACACCAUCGGAUUUAAUUUCAGGGAAUACUAACCACAUAGUACACGGGUUGUGUUUUCAUUAAUCACAACAUUCAAGCCUAUCAUUACUACACUCACUUCAUGAAUUUCCCCCACUAAGACCAACAAAUUCAAUCACUUUCACAAAGAUUUUCUCCAUAUAUCUCCUUCCUAACUAUUUCUCUUAAUGAAAGUCCAUCCCCUUCUUUCCCCCAUCACCAAUAACCUUAGCUAAAGAGAUCAAAUCAAAAUUCACAUUCAAGAACAUCUACUCCCUCCUUCCUAAGUCACUACUACUCUUCCAUAACUACUAUUAUGCUAUCAUUCGGAGGGUCAUCUAGGGACCCAAACAUAUGCAUCAAGAAAGGAAGCAACACUAUUCGAUUAUACCUUAUACUUAUUGCACUACUCAUGGUGGGAUAUGAGAUGGAGAUAUAAUAAAAUCAUGAAGGGCUUCUUAUAUCAAGUGUUUGGAUCGUAAGUAGAGGGUCGUUCAGACAUAAAUCUACCCAACAUGAGUUCUUAGGACUGGGCAUAGUGAGAAACAUUUGAGCAUAUAUCAUUAGCGGUAUAGUAUGAAGGCGGAACUCAAGGGGUCAACACCUGAGACAAGGAUUGCCACUUGAAGCUAUUGUUUCUCAUUUUCAGAGCUGAGAUAGUGAUGAUUUUCCAAAAACGUUAUCACUUUGGCUAAAUCCGACAUAGAAUGAUUCGGUGACCUAUAGAAACAUAAUUUCUCAGGUCCAAGCAUGAUGUGAGACAUGGAUUUUUAUGGAUCAUGAGCAACGUCACAUAGGGCUUGAAUACUUGAAAGAUUGGGUUACCGAGACAUCAUUGUUUCUGGUUUGGAGAUCGGAUCAUAACAUAAGUUGCAUAAAAACUCGGAUCUUGGGCAUAGGCAUAACUUCAAUACGUAAGACAUUGGUAGGAUGUCCUUAUUAAAUUGAAGUAGGAGGAACUUGCUUGACUAGGAAUAGAUUUUUGUCAGGAUUCUUACCUAAAACUUGACCACACAAGAAAAUUUCGGGAACUACCUUACUUCAUCAUCUCCCCCUUAGAUCAAAGUCUCCAUCUUAGACUUGAGGACAUAUCCUCUCAUUACAUCUGCACACACAACACUCAAUACAAUGGGGUAUUACCACACACAUAAAUGCUAAACUUUUCCUUUUUAAUUAUACUCUAAAGGCAUUGCUUUCCUGAAAUGCUACUCUUAAUUUUUUCUAGCCUCUAUAGCCAUCACCCUACAACACUCUCAUAAGCAUACAUAUCCUCACCCUCUAUCACUUAACAAUUUAUUCUCCAUCACUUAACAUACUCGCAUUAAACCUCUAAUCACAUAACUUACAACUUAACAAAAUUCGUAAAACUAUAUCAAAGGUGCAUAUUGCCUACCUAUAUUUCCUCAAUUCAACUCUAAAGAACACCAUACAACAACUCCCCAGACUUUUCCAUACUACAAGAUUCAAAAAGGUGAACUAGGCACACAUGACACUUAUAUAAAUAUCAACCUUAUCUAACAACAGGCUACUUGGGGUUCAACUUAUUCUUAUAUACUCACGCUAUUAUACACUUAAUGACUCAUCCACAAUUCAUCAUUUUAACACUAGUGCUCAUGUACAUACAACAACAACAACAACAAACCCAGUAUAUUCCCACAUAGUGGGGUCUGGGGAGGGUAGUGUGUAUGCAGUCCAUACCACUACCUCUCAAGAGGUAGAGAGACUGUUUUCGAUAGACCUCUGGCUCAAGAUAAAAUGCAGUAUGCAAAUGCAUCAAAAGCAUAGAACACGAUAAAAUAACAUAGAAAUGACAUCCACAAAAAUAAUGUACAUUGCCAAACAAAUGAUACCAAGAUCCACCUAAUUACUGACUACAACUCAACCACACCUCUAGCCCUCUAUCCUAAUGUUUUUCCUCCAUAUCGUCCUAUUCAGGGUCAUGUCCUCAGUCAGCUGUAACUACUCCAUGUCACGUUUAAUCACUUCUCUUAAGUAUUUCUUCGGUCUACCCCUACCCCGCUUGAAACCUUCCAAGGCCAACCUCUCACACUUACGAACUGGGGCAUUCGUGCCCCUCCUCAUCACAUGACCAAACCAUCUCAACCGCACUUCCCGCAUUUAUCCUCCACCGACACCACUCCCACCUUCGCCCGUAUUAUUUCAUUCCUAACCCUAUCAGCCCUUGUGAAUCCACACAUCCAACGCAACAUUCUUAUUUCCUCUAGUGCUCAUGUACAUAAAUAUCACAAUUAUCCACUCUUUUUUCCUCAAGUUUCCAACCUAAGUUAUUUCACACCUCACAUCAAGCCUACUAAUUCAUUCCUACAAAACGUACAUUACUAAUCUUAAGCUACUAUCCACCUACUCA
rnacentral:lncRNA from 1 species